GGCUUAGAGUUUGAUCAUGGCUCAGGAUUAACGCUGGCGGCGCACAUAAGACAUGCAAGUCGAACGGACUUAAUCGAUUCUUUUAGAUUCGAAGCGGUUAGUGGCGGACUGGUGAGUAACACGUAAGCAACCUGCCUAUUAGAGGGGAAUAACAGUGAGAAAUCAUUGCUAAUACCGCAUAAGCUAGAGAUGUCGCAUGACAAAGCUAGAAAAGGAGUAAUCCGCUAAUAGAUGGGCUUGCGUCCGAUUAGCCAGUUGGUGGGGUAACGGCCUACCAAAGCAACGAUCGGUAGCCGAGCUGAGAGGCUCAACGGCCACAUUGGGACUGAGAUACGGCCCAGACUCCUACGGGAGGCAGCAGUCGGGAAUAUUGCGCAAUGGAGGGAACUCUGACGCAGUGACGCCGCGUAUGGGAAGAAGGUUUUCGGAUUGUAAACUAUUUUAGACAGGGAAGAAUAAAGACAGUACCUGUAGAAUAAGCUCCGGCUAACUACGUGCCAGCAGCCGCGGUAAUACGUAGGGAGCAAGCGUUAUCCGGAUUUAUUGGGUGUAAAGGGUGCGUAGACGGGAAAGCAAGUUAGUUGUGAAAGCCCUCGGCUUAACUGAGGAACUGCAACUAAAACUAUUUUUCUUGAGUGCAGGAGAGGGAAGCG
rnacentral:rRNA from 1 species